GGUUUUGUAGUGUAGCGGUUAUCACUCCGGAUUCUGAUUCGCUUGAUGUCAGGAGAUUUCCGGCAACCCCGGUUCGAUUCCGGGCAAGACCU
rfam:Setosphaeria turcica Et28A unplaced genomic scaffold SETTTscaffold_16, whole genome shotgun sequence.